AUGGUUAAGUUAGAAAGGGCGCACGGUGAAUGCCUUGGCACUAGGAGCCGAUGAAGGACGGGACUAACACCGAUAUGCUUCGGGGAGCUGUAAGUAAGCUUUGAUCCGGAGAUUUCCGAAUGGGGAAACCCACUGUUCGUAAUGGAGCAGUAUCUUUAUCUGAAUACAUAGGAUAUUGAAGGCAGACCCGGGGAACUGAAACAUCUAAGUACCCGGAGGAAGAGAAAGCAAAUGCGAUUUCCUGAGUAGCGGCGAGCGAAACGGAAUUAGCCCAAACCAAGAGGCUUGCCUCUUGGGGUUGUAGGACACUCUAUACGGAGUUACAAAGGAACGAGGUAAAUGAAGAGGUCUGGAAAGGCCCGUCAAAGAAGGUAACAACCCUGUAGUUGAAACUUCGUUCCCUCUUGAGUGGAUCCUGAGUACGGCGGAACACGUGAAAUUCCGUCGGAAGCUGGGAGGACCAUCUCCCAAGGCUAAAUACUCCCUAGUGACCGAUAGUGAACCAGUACCGUGAGGGAAAGGUGAAAAGCACCCCGGAAGGGGAGUGAAAGAGAACCUGAAACCGUGUGCCUACAAGUAGUCAGAGCCCGUUAAUGGGUGAUGGCGUGCCUUUUGUAGAAUGAACCGGCGAGUUACGAUCCCAUGCAAGGUUAAGUUGAAGAGACGGAGCCGUAGCGAAAGCGAGUCUGAAUAGGGCGUUUAGUAUGUGGUUGUAGACCCGAAACCAGGUGAUCUACCCAUGUCCAGGGUGAAGUUCAGGUAACACUGAAUGGAGGCCCGAACCCACGCACGUUGAAAAGUGCGGGGAUGAGGUGUGGGUAGCGGAGAAAUUCCAAUCGAACCUGGAGAUAGCUGGUUCUCUCCGAAAUAGCUUUAGGGCUAGCCUCACGUUGUGAGAGUCUUGGAGGUAGAGCACUGAUUGGACUAGGGGCCCCCAACGGGUUACCGAAUUCAGUCAAACUCCGAAUGCCAAAGACUUAUCCGUGGGAGUCAGACUGCGAGUGAUAAGAUCCGUAGUCAAAAGGGAAACAGCCCAGACCACCAGCUAAGGUCCCCAAGUAUACGUUAAGUGGAAAAGGAUGUGGAGUUGCUUAGACAACCAGGAUGUUGGCUUAGAAGCAGCCACCAUUUAAAGAGUGCGUAAUAGCUCACUGGUCGAGUGACUCUGCGCCGAAAAUGUACCGGGGCUAAACGUAUCACCGAAGCUGUGGAUUGACAUCU
rnacentral:rRNA from 2 species